rnacentral:rRNA from 1 species
CCUACGGGUGGCAGCAGUGGGGGAUCUUGCACAAUGGGGGAAACCCUGAUGCUGCGACGCCGCGUGAGUGAAGAAGUAUUUCGGUAUGUAAAGCUCUAUCAGCAGGGAAGAAAAUGACAGUACCUGACCAAGAAGCCCCGGCUAACUACGUGCCAGUAGCCGCGGUAAUACGUAGGGGGCAAGCGUUAUCCGGAUUUACGGGGGGUAAAGGGAGCGUAGACGGUUAUGUAAGUCUGGAGUGAAAGCCCGGGGCCCAACCCCGGGACGGCAUUUGAAACUGUGUAACUGGAGUACAGGAGGGGCAGGCGGAAUUCCGGGUGUAGCAGUGAAAUGCGUAGAUAUCGGGAGGAACACCGGCGGCGAAGGCGGGCUGCUGGACUGAAACUGACGUUGAGGCUCGAAGGCGAGGGGAGCAAACAGGAUUAGAUACCCGAGUAGUC